AGCCUUAAGAUUAUAUUUAAGGUAAUGCCUGCCCAGUGCUACAGUGUUAACGGCCGCAGUACCUUGACUGUGCUAAGGUAGCAUAAUCAGUUGGCUUUUAAAUGGAGUCGGGAAUGAAUGGAUUUAUACGGUAAAGCUGUCUCUUUUAUAUUUUAUUGAAUUUAAUUAUUAGGUGAAAAUACCUAAAAUUAACAAAAAAGACGAGAACACCCAAAGAGUUUUUACUAAUGGUCAAUUUAAGUUGGCUUCUGGUUUUUGUUGGGGCGACAUAAGAACAAACAACUUCCUUAUUUUAUAGGCCGACUACGUAUGAAUAAUAAAACUACCCUAGGGAUAACAGCGUAAUUCUUUAUGGAGCUUGCGACCUCUAUGUUGGACUAUGAAUUUGAAUGGCUAGCCGGCACUUUAUAUUGUUCUGUUCGAACUUAAUUUCCU
rnacentral:rRNA from 1 species